GUGCUCGCUUCGGCAGCACAUAUACUAAAAUUGGAACCAUACAGAGAAGAUUAGCAUGGCCCCUGCGCAAGGAUGACACAUAAAUUCAUGAAGCAUUCCAUAUAUAA
ensembl:snRNA U6 U6 spliceosomal RNA